AGGGUUUGAUCAUGGCUCAGAACGUACGCUGGCGGCACGCCUUAUACAUGCAAGUCGAACGCAGUAGCAAUACUGAGUGGCAGACGGGUGAGUAUAAUGUGGGAAUCUGCCUUUUGGUUUGGAAUAACACGGGGAAACUUGUGCUAAUACCGAAUAAGCCCUUACGGGGAAAGUUUUAAUGCCGAAAGAUGAGCCCGCACUUGAUUAGCUAGUUGGUAAGGUAAAAGCUUACCAAGGCAACGAUCAAUAGCUGUUCUUAGAGGAAGACCAGCCACAUUGGGACUGAGACACGGCCCAGACUCCUACGGGAGGCAGCAGUGGGGAAUCUUGCACAAUGGGGGAAACCCUGAUGCAGCGAUGCCGCGUGAGUGAAGAAGGCCCUUGGGUUGUAAAACUCUUUCGUCGGGGAAGAAAAUGACUGUACCCGAAUAAGAAGGUCCGGCUAACUUCGUGCCAGCAGCCGCGGUAAUACGUAGGGGGCGAGCGUUGUCCGGAUUUAUUGGGCGUAAAGAGCUCGUAGGCGGUUCAACAAGUCGGUCGUGAAAGUUCAGGGCUCAACCCUGAAAUGUCGAUCGAUACUGUUGUGACUAGGAUACGGUAGAGGUGAGUGGAAUUCCGAGUGUAGCGGUGAAAUGCGUAGAUAUUCGGAGGAACACCAAUUGCGAAGGCAGCUCACUGGGCCGCUAUCGACGCUGAGGAGCGAAAGCUAGGGGAGCAAACAGGAUUAGAUACCCUGGUAGUCCUAGCUGUAAACGAUGGAUACUAGACGUAGGAAUUGGAUUAACGAUUUCUGUGUCGUAGCUAACGCGUUAAGUAUCCCGCCUGGGGAGUACGGCCGCAAGGCUAAAACUCAAAUGAAUUGACGGGGGCCCGCACAAGCGGUGGAGCAUGUGGUUUAAUUCGAUGCAACGCGAAAAACCUUACCAACCCUUGACAUCUAGUGAAAUUUCUAGAGAUAGAUUUGUGCCUUCGGGAACACUAUGACAGGUGUUGCAUGGCUGUCGUCAGCUCGUGUCGUGAGAUGUAUGGUUAAGUCCAGUAACGAGCGCAACCCCUAUUCUUAUUUGCCAGCACUUCGGGUGGGAACUAUAAGGAGACCGCCGUGUAUAACACGGAGGAAGGCGGGGACGACGUCAAGUCAUCAUGGCCCUUACGGGUUGGGCUACACACGUGCUACAAUGGGAGAUACAGAUGGUUGCGAAAGCGCGAGCUGGAGCUAAUCCCAAAAAGUCUUCCUCAGUCCGGAUUGGAGUCUGCAACUCGACUCCAUGAAGCAGGAAUCGCUAGUAAUCGUGAAUCAGAAUGUCACGGUGAAUACGUUCUCGGGCCUUGUACACACCGCCCGUCACGUCAUGGGAGUGUGUUGCACCAGAAGUGGUUUGCCUAACCUUUGGAGGGCGGCCCCCACGGUGUGAUACGCGACUGGGACGAAGUCGUAACAAGGUAACCGUA
rnacentral:rRNA from 1 species